rnacentral:lncRNA from 10 species
AAAUAUUUAUCUUGCAAAGCAUGAUUGGCUUUUUGUAAUAAUGGAGUAAACAACUCAAAAGAAAUGAACCACAAAAAUCUUGGCUAUUCAGCCUCUUGAUGAAAAAUCAGGAUGUUGGAUCGGCAUGUGGCAAGCCAGCUACCUCUCAUGCCCUCUACCAAAAAGAAAAACAGCCGGGCGCCGUGGCUCACGCCUGUAAUCCCAGCACUUUGGGAAGCCAAGGCAGGCAGAUCACGAGGUCAGGAGAUCGAGACCAUUCUGGCUAACACGGUGAAACCCUGUCUCUACUAAAAAUACAAAAAAGUAGCCGGGCGUGGUGGCUGGCGCCUGUAGUCCCAGCUACUCGGGAGGCUGAGGCAGGAGAGAGGCGCGAACCCGGGAGGCGGAGCUUGCAGUGAGCCGAGAUCGCGUCGCUGCCCUCCAGCCUGGGCGACAGAGCGAGACUCCAUCUCAAAAAAAAAAAAAAAGAAAAGAAAAAACAUGCUUUAAUCUAGGUGUGCUUAGCUGUCUAAAAGUUUGAUUUUUGUCCUAAGUCUCUGCUAGUUAGAAUUACCUCUAAAUAGAGGAAUCAAUUAGUGUCAAAAUCACGUAUUACAUACUAAUGUGGGUUUCGUAUUAUUGACAGUAAGUAAAUUUGAAAAAUAUAAAGAGAAAAGCUGAGGGAGAAAAUCAAUCCUAAUUGUACCAUCAAAAGUGACCACUCAGUAUCCUGCUGUAUUUCCUCCCAACUUUUUUCUCUCGUUUUUUUUUUUUUACUUAAUAUUGUGAACAUUCUUAAACAAAUAAAACCUCUUCUAAAAUAGUUGUAUAAUAGUCUAUUUCUAGCUGGUCAGUGAUUUAUUAAUCAUUCUUGUUGGAUGUUUAAGUUGUUUCCAGUUUUUCACUACUAUAAACAAGGCAGAGAUGAACAUCCUGUAUAUAUAUUUCCUAGUAUUUAAAUUAUUUCAUUGGUGGAUACAUCAUACA